rnacentral:lncRNA from 1 species
GGUGUAUGAUAAAAUUCACUGAACUGACAAUCCAGAAUGGCACUGUCAUCAACGUAGACAACUGGAUAGACAGUCCCUCGGAUACCUGAAGCUGGACAGUGCAUGUUCUUCCCAUUUAAAUAUACGUUUAAUUCUACGUGGUCAUAUGUGAUGCCCACCACAUCGCCCUCCUGUGGCAAGCUGUUAGCUGGUAGUCUGUUUUUCUCCUCGUUGUUGUAGUACAGAGCUCCAUCGUUCCUCAUCACCAGGCUAUGGACAUCCCGGCCAAGUGGAAUUUGAUUCAAGUUUGCUUUCUGGGUUGCAACUCCGAUACCCCAAAUGCCUGUGGACUGGAUUUUAAACUCAAAAUAGCUCUUGUUCUGAUGUAGGGGCGCGUUGGCGAGGCAGCCUCCUGUGCCACAUAUCCUUCUGCCAUUUUUAACAAUGACGACAUCUGUUCCCAUACGCUGCGUGUCCAGCUGCACGGCCGGCAUCUCCUUCAGCGGGAUGUGACCGGCACCGCCAUCCCGGCACCAGCGGAGGCAGCAAAAGACGGAGGCCGCCAUGACUGGCCGGGCCCCGCCGAGCCGAGCCGAGCCGGGCCGAGCCAAGCCGGGCCGAAGCGCGCAGCCGCGGGCUAGCAGGGCAGCGGUGGCGGCGGGCGGGGCGGCGGGAACGGCGCCCCCUGGCGGGCGGGAGGUGCCGGCGGGCGGGGCGUGCGCCGCGACAUGGCGAGCGGCGUCCUCCCGCCUCAUCCAGAGUCCAGCGCGGCUCUUGAUCCGCAAGGAGACUUCCAGCACACGUUGUGAGCUGAUCUACGACAGCCUGCGGACAGCAGAUGCCUCUAUUUAGAGGCAUAUUCAUCUCCAAAUCAAUUUGGGCCAAAACUGCCGUCUCUCGUGAUUUUCAGCCGCUCUCUCUCUUCAUGGCGUUUCACCUGGAGCGCUCCCUGAAGGCUUCGUACAGAACAAGAUGCGACCAAUGCAACCCGUGUGGCACAGCGGGUGCAAAGUGGGUGUUGGAAAAGCGAUGUGAAAGGAAAUGCUCGCAGCAAGAAGUGCCUUUUCGGUCGGGACGGGCUGUGUCAGUCACACUCAGCACUCCAUGUGAAACACGAGGUGCAAAGCGGCCUUACACAAAGCAGUGCCUAAAACCAAUCUGAUUUUAAGAGCAGCUUUAAAAUACGCUUCCUUUCUUUUAUUGGGUUUACUGUUACAGCCCAUAAACAUCUGGGGUCAAGAGCUCGCUUCCUUAAAAUAUGCCAAAUGGGAUUAUUCGUGGGCUUCUGAGAAGUAAAUAUGAGGUGGAAACCGAUGUGUGUUCAUUUCAUGUGUAGGGCAUUGCCGUUCUCAUUGGUAGCGCGGUGUUCCCAUAAUUAGUCCCAUUUAAGGCACCGUGGGACUUUUAUUGUCUGUUGUACACUGUGGGUUUGUUACAGUAAACGCUGAAUGACAACUGUUAAUAUAUUAAAAAGAAAAUAAUAAUGAUUUUUUGAAAGCAAAACAAAACAUCCUUAGGAAGAGACACAACCUACAAAUGACUUCCAUCCUAUUUUUUUCUGCUCCUUUUUUUUUUUUCCCCCAGAUGUCCACUGGGGAAAUGAGCAGGACUUGCUGCAUCACAGGGGAGCAGGGCUUUUGGGGGAGCUUUCCUGCUCCAUUGCUUCCUUAGCUGGAGACCCAGUUCCACUGGUGUCCCCCACCCAGCGCUGGUGACAGCUCGGUGUUACAGUGGGGUAUGUGGGUGAAGCCGCACGGCUGAGAAAACCAACAGCAUACAGUGUGGGUUAGGCCAGAGCAAGGAAAGCAGCUGGUAAUGCAUGGGGCUUUUUCAUACACCUUUCGUGGAGGAGGAGGUGAGAAAUUCCAGCAGGAUAGCACCAGAUCUGUAUAUUUUUCUCCUUCAGCCUGUUUAGAACAGCGGGGUGGCACAAAAUGUUUAUGCUAUGCAAAUGGCUGCCUCGAGGAAAUGGAGAUCUGGGCUCCAACUGGGGAUGGUAAUGAAGGGUUAAUUCAGCAUCUGCCUUUCCUGAGUGUGUGUUUCUUUCACUGGGGAGGCCAAGUAUUUCGGGCCCUCCCACACUGGAAGCAAAAUUAUGCUCCACAAGCCUAAACAUGCUUGUUGCUCACAGGGCUUUAGCUUCAUUUCCUUGAACGGUAGCAGAAGAGACAUUUUGUCUGGGAACCAUGUUGGAAGAACGGGAGAAAAACCAGAAAAUAAGAACAGGUCCAUCCACUCCACCAUUGCGGGAGUAUUUGGAGGUCAUGCUGAAAGAAGAGAGUGGUCAUUGACUUGUUGUGCUCUUUUGCUCUGAGCCUCAUUUACAAAACACUACUGUCUCUCAUUAGCCCUGCAACCUACAUCCACACGCUGCAGAGGAAUACGUUUCAGCAAGGUUCCCUGACGCCAUCGAAUUUGCAGGAGAGAAGGGAACUAUGUAAUGCACCACCGGUUGUUACAGCACGUAAUACAACGUGACUAAUAAGUCUCAGCAAAAUGAUUCCUCUUAAUCUGCUUUGCCUCUAGAGCCCUGCUAGGAAAAAAACACUGGGACUCACCUCCUGUGCUGCCACGAGCUUGGUGGAGGCAUUUCCACCUGUGAAAACCAGUGAAGAAGACAGUUAUUACAUAGGCUGAAAUGGGUGUAGUAACAUCCUCACGCAGCUUGCACAGAAGUAAAUGAUAGCGCAGGACUGGAAAAUCAAGGUCUGUUUACUGCAAGCACUCGCAGGGUCAGGCCUGUGGUUUGGAAGAU